AAGUGUUGGAGAGAUUCGCCUGAGAACCAGCGACCCGCUAGACUAUCCGCUCAUAGAUCCACGCUACUACGAGAAUAAAGAAGACGUUAAAACGAUGGUGGCAGGGAUCAAGCUCGCGAUGAGGAUAUCAGCGACAAAUGCAUUCAAGUCUAUCGGAGCAAAGAUGAAUCCAAAUAACUGGAACGUGCCAGGGUGCACUCAGCACGGCAAAGGUGACAAAUAUCUGGAGUGCGUUGCACGGAGUAUAUCCACAACAAUUUACCAUCCGACGGGAACCUGUAAGAUGGGCGCCAGCACCGAUCCGUCUGCCCGUCGUUGAUCCGCAGCUGAGGGUGCGUGGAGUAGAAGGACUGAGGGUCGUGGAUGCCUCCAUCAUGCCGGAAAUCACGGCGGGAAACCCGCAUGCGCCUGUCAUCAUGAUCGCUGAGAAGGCCGCCGACAUGAUACGCGCUGUAAAGAAGUGAUGUUAAAAAAACUGACUAAGAUAUUUGAGAAAGAAUACUGCGAUAUGAUAACGGUUAUGUAAAGUUAUGCGCAGACUGAUAGGCCUACAUGUGAUGCUACCCUGUUAGUUAUAUUAUUAGAUGUGCGCAUAUAAAUAAAUAAAUAAAUAAAUAUAUAUAUAUAUAUAUAUAUAUAUACAUAUA